ACGUUAUUUUACUUACUCCGUG
rnacentral:snRNA from 1 species